AGGGCCGGGAAGGGCGCAUGCGCAGUGGCAGCGACGAAAGUUUAGUGAGGCGGCGCCGCGCGGCGCGAGGCGGGUCUAGAGGCUCUCGUUUUUCCCGCUCGUUUUCCGGGGAUCCCCCGCGGUGGGACAGUGAGCAGUUCAGGACGCCUCAGCCGAGGUCUUCCUCCAGGUUCCCCAUCUGGAAAAUGGGACCAUCAGCCUCACUCGCAAGGCUCAUGGGAGGGUCCCGGACACCCUGGAGUUGUUUUCUACUCACCUGCUAUGAAUCUGUCAGCAAAUCCUUCGGACCUGGCCUUGCCUCCAAAAUACAGCCCAGAUCCACGCUUUCUCCCCAGCCAGGCUGUCACCACCCUAGGCCACAUCGUCCCUAUCUGUCUCAUGGAAGACUUGGACAGUCUCAUGGAAGACUUGGACUUUGCUGCAUUCUUUGGAAGCCCCAGGCUCUGUUCUGCCCAUGGCCGCAGGCUGAGGAGUCUUUUAAAAAUGUAACCAGCCUGAUGCGGUAGCUCACCCCUGUAAUCCCAGAACUGUGGGAGGCCAAGGUGGGAGGAUCUCUUGAGCUCAGUUCAAACCCAGCCUAGAAAACAGAGCAAGACCCCAUCUCUACAAAAACACAAAAAUUACCCGGGUGUGGUGGUGCAGGCCAGCUACUCGGGAGGCUGAGGCAGGAGGAUCACAUGAGCCCAGGAGGUUGAGGCUGCAGUGAGCUAUGACAACAGUGCCACUGCCACCAUCCUAGGGACAGAGCAAGAACCCCCCCCAUAUAUAUAGAUAUAAAUACUUUGUUUUUAUCUACAUACAUAUAUACACACACAGAUAUAUACAUACAUAUGUGUGUAUAUAUUUGUGUGUGUGUGUGUAUAUAUAUAUACACACAUAGACUGAAAACAGAAAUAUCAAGGCCACUCAGUGCUUCCAGAGGGCUCUCAGCUGAACUUGGAAUAUCCUAAACCUUUUAUUCAGGCUUAUGAAGUCCCCUGAACUUGGCUCCCACGCCCCACUUUGUUUCCCCUUGCUCAUUGCUGUUCAGCCAUGUGGGUCUUUCCGUCCUUGGAGCACAAGCUCAUUCCAGCCUAAGGGCCUUUGUACUUGCUGAUUUCUCUGCCUGGGACCUUGUAUUUCAGGUCUUACCUAGGUUUGAGUCCCAGCUCUGUACCUUUUUGAGUAUGAUCUAAAAGAGAGUGAGGAGUACUACAAUCUGUGGUCCAGAUAUAGCCUAUGAACUAAAAAUGGUUCCUCCCUCCCUCCCCUUGUUCCCUCCCUCCCUUUCCUUCCCUUCCCUUUCUUUUAUUUAUUUUGGAGUGUCUGUUGCCCACGCUGGAGUGCAGUGGUACAAUUUUGACUCACUGCAACCUCCGCCUCCCGGGUUCAAGUGAUUCUUCUGCCUCAGCCUCCUGAGUAGCUGGGAUUACAGCUGUGUGCCGCUAUACCCAGCUAAUUUUUGUGUGUUUUUUUAUAGAGACAGGGUUUCACCAGGCUGCUCUCAAACUCCUGACCUCAGGUGCUUCACCCACCUUGGCCUCCCAAAGUGCUGGGAUUACAGGCAUGAGACACCACGCCCUCUGACUUUUUACAUUUUUAGCUGGUUGGGAAAAAAAAAAUACCAAAAGAAGAAUAUCUCUUGAUGUGAAAAUGGUGUGAAAUUUACAUUUCAGUGUCUGUAAAUAAAGUUUCAUUUGCAAACAGCCAUGCUUACUCAUUUAUAUAUUAUCUCUGGCUACUUUUGAGCUAUGACAUUAGAGCUAUUUACAUGGUUGUUAUACUUUUCUGAACAGCCAGUGGGAUGUGGUAAAUAUUUAACAACAGCUUCUCUGGAGGAGAAUGUAUUUGUUAGUAUGUAUUUAUGUGUGUGUAUAUAGUUUAUUGUAAAUUUUACUGAUUUUUCUAUCACUUCCUUAAGACCACAAGACAAUUAAUAAAACAAAUUGAACCCUGA